rnacentral:rRNA from 1 species
GACGAGCGCUGGCGGCGUGCCUAAUACAUGCAAGUUGAGCGCUGAAGGUUGGUACUUGUACCAACUGGAUGAGCAGCGAACGGGUGAGUAACGCGUGGGGAAUCUGCCUUUGAGCGGGGGACAACAUUUGGAAACGAAUGCUAAUACCGCAUAAAAACUUUAAACACAAGUUUUAAGUUUGAAAGAUGCAAUUGCAUCACUCAAAGAUGAUCCCGCGUUGUAUUAGCUAGUUGGUGAGGUAAAGGCUCACCAAGGCGAUGAUACAUAGCCGACCUGAGAGGGUGAUCGGCCACAUUGGGACUGAGACACGGCCCAAACUCCUACGGGAGGCAGCAGUAGGGAAUCUUCGGCAAUAGACGAAAGUCUGACCGAGCAACGCCGCGUGAGUGAAGAAGGGUUUCGGAUCGUAAAACUCUGUUGGUAGAGAAGAACGUUGGUGAGAGUGGAAAGCUCAUCAAGUGACGGUAACUACCCAGAAAGGGACGGCUAACUACGUG